AUUGAACGCUGGCGGCAUGCCUUACACAUGCAAGUCGAACGGCAGCACGGGGCAACCUGGUGGCGAGUGGCGAACGGGUGAGUAAUGCAUCGGAACGUACCUUUCAGUGGGGGAUAACGUAGCUAAAGUUACGCUAAUACCGCAUAUUCUGUGAGCAGGAAAGCAGGGGAUCGCAAGACCUUGCGCUGAUUGAGCGGCCGAUGUCAGAUUAGCUAGUUGGUGAGGUAAAGGCUCACCAAGGCGACGAUCUGUAGCGGGUCUGAGAGGAUGAUCCGCCACACUGGAACUGAGACACGGUCCAGACUCCUACGGGAGGCAGCAGUGGGGAAUUUUGGACAAUGGGGGCAACCCUGAUCCAGCCAUGCCGCGUGAGUGAAGAAGGCCUUCGGGUUGUAAAGCUCUUUCGGCCGGGAAGAAAUCGCACGGGCUAAUACCCUGUGUGGAUGACGGUACCGGAAUAAGAAGCACCGGCUAACUACGUGCCAGCCGCCGCCGUAA
rnacentral:rRNA from 1 species